CCUGCCUUCACAGACCUCAGUUUUUUGUUUUUGUUUUGUUUGUUUUCAUUUUUAGUGGCUGAAUUCUUAGUAACACCUCAAAGAAGCCACUUUCUUGGCUUGGGAUCUCAAGCCAAGCUAUGCACCAUGUUCAGUUUCGACCAUAAAAAUACGAUCUAAUUCCUUUUCCUAGAAAGGCUUCUGCAGGACCCGGCAAUAUACUGCUUACCAACUUCCUGUCCAAGUGGGGGUGGAGAAUCUAGAACUGUCCCAGGAAUGUGCCUUGGGCAUCUGUGUAUGACAAGGACAAAGCCAUGCCUGGGAAGGGUUGGUCGGUGGAUCAUCAAGUUUCUUUUAGUUUUUCCAAUUUCUUAGAUUCUAAGAAAGGAUAAUGCAGCUCCUGGUUUAUACUUCUUCUCUGACUCCUUGUGUCCUCAGGAUAAAAUUCCCACUGUCCUGAUCUGGUUGACAGCACCCUGCCUACCUCUCUGUCAUCAUCUUGGGUGUCUCCCCCUUGAACACUGUGCUCCAGCUGCCUGGACCUUUCGUCAGCUGUUUCCCAUCUCACAACUUUUGCCCCAGGUUCCCCUGUGCCUGCGAUGUGGUUUGAGUGUGUCUCCGAAACAUUCACGUACUGGCGGCUUAGUCUUCAGUGGUGGAGUUGAGACACCGAGCCUCAAGCAUACUGUUAUAAAACAGACUGAUGUCCUCCUUCCGGUGCAGCUUUGAGAACAUCCACCAGGUGGGCCUUCUCUGACCUCCUUCCU
rnacentral:lncRNA from 1 species